UGUUUGUGUAUGUACAAUUUCCUGAAGAUUCCUUUACACAGAGGACAUGCGGAAACAUUGUUCUCUUUACCUAUUUCACAUCAAAAAGGAAACGGGAAGGCUAUUCUCGGAAAUAAAAUCAAUACAAAUUUGGACACUUUGAAAGACAAAACAAGAAAAACGACGUUUUGAUUUCGCAGAACAAUCGAAGAUAAUCCUCCAUUUUUGAGGUCAGCAAGAUAACCUCAGGAUUCUGUUUAAGAAUGUAUACGGUUCAUUCCGCAGUAGCACUUAGUAUAUCGCUAUCAUGUGGUCCAAACGUCUUUUGGUGAUCUUCUUUUGUCUGAUCUUCGUGUUCCUGCAAAUCGACUGCAGGCCACCUACGGCUACGUCGAGCGGAACCGCCGAUGAUGAUAACUCCACCGCGGCUGUGAACGCAACAGGAAAACACAAAGCGGUCAUGGGCAGAUUUAUCGCUGUUAAAUGCAAGGAUGGAUUCGUUAAAGUUGGCAACACCUGCAGGCAGGCGCAGUCCUGAGAAGGACCCGCCGAAACCUACACCAGCAGUUGAGGUGCCUUACCUUACGGAAUAACAUUAAUAAUAAGGAGUUUUAUGUUUAUUGUUAAAUUAAUAUUCUAAAUCAAAAUAUAUGAACUGUAUGUACGUUA